UUAUUUAAUGUUUUCGGCUAUCUCUUGGGCUCUGCCCGCGCUGGUUCAAAUCCUGCUGGUGUCGUAUCUCUUGGGCUCUGCCCGCGCUGGUUCAAAUCCUGCUGGUGUCG